rnacentral:lncRNA from 1 species
CCCAAUUGGUUACAUUAUUCCCCCAAACAAUGAAUUUAGCUGCUCAUAAUACAAGAAAAGUAGGAAUUUGUCUUAGAAUACAUCACUGAAUUUGUAAUAAAAAUUUAGAAGAAAAAGUAGAAUUCUUGCACCAAAAUAUCCUUCAUCUUCCAAUGAAUGCUUCUAAUCUUCAAUUGUUUGGUGUUAAUCUUCUUGAAUUUCUCUUUUAAAUCUCUCUUCUUGUUGUCUUCUCUCCAAUAUGUCAAGAACCCUUCAAAAGUAUGAGAAAGAUGUAUUUACAGCUGCCCUUCCGUUUUAUGUAGAAGUAGGGUUUUUAUGGAUUUAAAAACGGUCCAAAAAAACGCGCCCUAGAUAUUCAAUUGCAGCGCCUAGGCGCUGAUGAUAGCGCCUCGGCGCUAUGGUUGCGGCACUGUCUCUCGGGUCCAAAUUUCAUCUUUUUUUCAGUUUCGUAGCGCUUAGGCACUGCCUCUUCGUCCACUUUAAUACCUCUUUUCACAUCGCUUCUCCUAAUCUUCAAAACAACACUAAUAAACACAUCAAAAACGUUAUAUACUCACAAGAUCUAGCAUUUAAUUAAACUAAAAUUGUGCAAAAAUAUGAGUGAAACAAACUCAUCACUCGACAUACAAGUCCUCAUCAUCGGGAGCCACACGGGAUGAAUUGGAGGACGGUACACUUGUUCCAACCUGUAAACUCCCACCCGGCUCAUAUUUCUGUUGGGAUAAAGCAAUCAAAUUCUCAUUUGUAAACUCGUUUAUAUUCUCAUUGUCAUCAACUGUCGAUGGAAUUCUAUGCGUAACAGCGACAUCACGAUCAAAAGCAACUGUCUCAGGAAUAACCACAUCAUCCGCAGGAACUAUCUCCACUGUCUCCCAAAAACCUCGAUCAUUGUUAUCCGCCUUACCUGAAUUUUCGCGUUCACCUUCGAUAACAUCCUUCUUAAUUAAAGUCACACCAAGAACAGUCGGAGUCCGAUGCAUUUUAUUCAAUUCUAAUAGAUAAUUCAAUUCAGCAUCAUUAGUAACGAAUACCAAUGGCAUCGGAAUAGAUGAAUCCCCAUAACUGUUGAAUAGAUAUCGCAAUUGCAUAUCGUACUGAGAUUGAUCGACAUUUAGCUUAUUUUGCAAAUGGUGAUACAUUUCUGAGUAUGAUGUACUCUCUAUUAUGAUAAUUGCAAUACAACCACAUAUGUCACUUGUCCAUCUCCAUUCCCACCGAUUAUUUUCAUUCAAUUCGAAAUCACCAAUAUAACAGAAGGGGAUUAUCAUAUCUACAUGAGGAAAUAGAUUCAAUCAACUUCAUAAUUAUAAGAAAAAAUCAGUGCCAAUAGUCGGCUGUUAAACAUCCAAACCAUCGGCUGUUUAAUAGCCAACAGUCAGCCGACUGUUUAGUUGUUUAACAGCCGACUGUUUGGCUAUUUUGCACAUGAAUUUUUUUUCUUCUAUGGUUCUAAAGAAAAAAAGUAUAGAUCUGUUCAAAUUUUUUUAUAUAGGUAAGAUCUGUUAACAAAAAUUUAUACUAACUAUUACUAUAUUGAAAUAAAAUUUCUCUAGUCAAACUAGGGCUGGGCAAAUCUCCUGAAUCGAAUCGACCGAACCCGAACCCGAACCGACGGUUCUUGUCAAAUUAAAUACCCGAACGGGUAUCUGAAUUGAGAACCGACGGGCACGGUUCGGUUCUCGAUUUUAGACCAAGAUCUGAAGAAUCGAAUAAGAACCGAAUAUUUCUAUUUUUUUUAUUAAGUAAAUCAAAUUAUGUUAAUUUUAAUUUGUUCUAAACAAAUUAACAAUUUAUGAAUCCAAAUUUUUGACCCAAUAAUUUAUUUCAUUUCUAAUUUUUUAAUUUUUGGCCCCAUUACCCAUUUUAUUGUUUCAUUUCUUAGCAGAACAAGAUUCAAUCCGUUAAAUAACUCUAAACACCUACACUAAAGUGCAUAACGUUGUCUAGACUCUCAUACUCACUCUCGUAGCCUCCCUGACGUUUCAAAAUCUAUACAAUCGUCGACCGAUGCUGUGACCUUCAAUCGAAGUUGCGACCUCCAUCGACCGAAACUUUGACCAUAGCAAUCAUUUGAAUAAGGUAGUCUACUAGUCUAUUGAAUUCCAAAAUCAUUGGAUGUAUCAUUAAUUGUAUUUAUAUAAUGUUGUUAUAAAUGUUAAAAAAUAUAAUUAUAGUACAUAACCGAACUGAACCGAACCAAACCCGAACGAUUCCAUAAUUAUAUUUGGACCCAACGGUUCCAUUUACUAGAGACCCGAAAAUUUUGGUUCGGUUCGGUACUAAAGAGAACCGAACCGACCCGCGUCCACCCCUAAUUCAAACGUAUACUAAUUUACUGAAAACGAAAUUAAACAUGUGUAAAUAUACUUACCGAUUUGAAGUAAUUGAUAUCAAAAAAAUUCUGGCUUCAGCGUUUGAACGUUUUUUGAGAUGUUGAAGUUGAAGUUGAAGUAGAUGAAAGAUGAGAGAUUUUUCUGUCUUGGAAGCUCCUUUUGAAGUUUUAUAAGUGGGGAAGUGUUUAAUUUUCAAUUAUUAACUAAAAGGGUAGUAAGUCCUUUCAACAAUACAUUGUUUUGUAAUUGUAUAAUGCAUUUAAAGGCAUCUUUGUCUUUUACCAUUCAAGAGGCCAAUGUGAUAAUAUUCAUAAUUUUCAAAGUUAAAGUGGAAUUUUGAACCUUUGACUUGGUCAAAUUUAAAAGUACCCCCUGAACCGAAGACUAAUAAUGUACUAGCUAGCUGAUGGAGUUCUGACUAAUAUCAAAUUCUUGACUAGAUCCAGAACUCUGAGAUCUCGACUUAAAACUCCCAGUAUCAUUAACACUAGUCCAAAAUCUUCCUCUGUUCUUUUUAUGCUGUCCACUAGAGGUUCUUGUUUGGCUUUGAUUUUCCCAAAUAGCUAACUGAAUCCCCCAAAUCUGUCCUGCUUGUAAUGCUGCCUCAACUCUCAAGGUCGCCUCAACUAAUGGAACAAAUCUGGCAUGUCCCUGCCGCGUCACCAUCGCCCUAAUAUCAGGCCUCAAGUUCUCUUCAAAUUGUCUGCUUUUGUCAUUCUCCUCAUUUGCUAGAACCAAUGCAUACUUCGAAAGCUCCACAAACUUGGUAUGAUAUUCAGAAACAGUCAUUGAACCUUGAGUAAGUCUCAAGAACUCAUUUUGCUUGGCAUUCUUUUAUGAAAGAGGAUAUUCGGUCUCAAAGAAAGCAUCUCUAAAAAUAGCCCAUGUGAUGUCAUUGGCUUCACAAUACCUGAUCUUAAAAGCAAAUUACCAGUCAACUACCACACCUUUCAGUAAGAAAGUAGCAAGGCGUAGUUUCUUUUCCUCAGAACAACCCAUAACAUCAAAAACACUUUCUAAAUUCCUAAUCCAUUCCUCAGUAUCAGUAAGGUUAGCUAUGCCCACAAAAUGUUUAGGACCGAGCUUAAUUCCCCUCUCAAUGCUAGUAUCUCUAUUUGGGUUGGGAAGAAUAGAGGCAAUGGCUGUAGCGAGUUUGUCGAAUAGGGGUUCAUUUCCAACCACAUUACCCUGUGUUGGUAGUCCUUGCGUCUGAUGAACUAAUGCCUCACCGACAUCUUUUCCUAGAGGGGCAUUUGGAUUUUCAGGUGAUCAGUGUCGACACCUACCUGCUUUGCCAGUGCGCAUCCUUAACCUACAAUAUGCAUAACAUGUUGAAAGAUUAGUAUAAAUACAACAUAUCCCAGGGACUCUUGAACCAUGCUUUGAUACCAACUUGACACAUCCCAUCCCGAACUCCUUACAAGACUCAAAGACAUGGCGUGUGCCGAUGAUAAGUGCCAACUAAAAUAUAACUAAACUUUGAUAAUAAGGCUUCAUUUGACCAACUAAAAUUUUUCUGAACUUCAAUAUACCAACAUUAUAUUAUCAUUCACUCCCCAAGCCAAAAAAACAUCUUUAUCAUUUGCAUCAUAACUGCCUCUCAAAAGGAUAAUUCUAGGGCAGUUUAGAUUACAAUAUUCCAUCGUGAUCAUUGGUACAUAUAAAUACAAAAAUCCUCAAAUAUGAUGCAAAUCACUUGAUGAUUACACAGUUUUAAACAAAAUAACCUACAAUUGGUGGUGGUAGUGGCUGCAAAACAAUCAAUAUGACCUUUACCACAGCUUAGUCAACAGCCUCUUAUAAGGAAAAGUUAAGAAAAUGUAAGAGAUAAUAAUCCCAGUGAGUUGAGUGUUUA